UGGGAAGCCAGACAAGUGCUGUAUCGUCGCUGAUUCGGGAAGGAGAAAGAGAUCAUUUUCGGUUUACACUUGCUGGGAUUCUUGGGUUUCGUCUAUUGAGAAAGUGUAAAGAGAACCUUGGGAAGAAAGCUAAGGAAACAGAAGGAUGGUUAAGGUAUACGCUAUAAUACUCAACUCAGCUCUUAACGGAAUAAAGAACAUUAAGAUAGUCUACAGUUAUCAACCAGACAAUUAUUUAUACCUCAUAUUACAAAAGUGUAAUGCAAUUUUCCCCCAGACGGCCAACAGCCAAGGUCGGAUCCGCAGCCUUGAUUCCGUAGAUAGAAAAACUGGAAUAUACCUACCUCUAUAGCGAUUUGGUUCACAGAUAACAACUGUCCAAUUGCUUUCACUUGAGACUACAAGUUUUAUACACUUAUUUGGUCAAAUAGUGACAGCCAAAGUCGGCCCAGAUAAGAUAAGAGCUGGAGAUGUUUUGCUGUCUGAGCUGUCUAAGCUGUCUGCUUUCAUACUAUAUAGACUAUAUAUUCUGAAAGUAUGUACAUAUGUAUAUGCAUGCUUCUAUGUUUUAAGGUCCUAAAAGGCUCAUCAUUUUGCAGCUCAUUGCCAGUUUCUAGCACUGAAACGCCUCAAAUGUCAACUUCUUAACCUUCCAUGACAACAAAAACACUCGUACUCUCGUGCUCGUACUCCGGUGUAUGUUUGGGAUGGGAUGGAUGUUGUUUUUGUGUCUGGUUCUUGUUGUCAUAACUCUCUUACAUAACUAAUUUGCAAACGGCGCUGACACGGACUCCCCAUAUAAAAAUGUCUCAUAUAGUUAGUCUAGCCCGUCCGUCCGCCCGUGGGACUGUUGUCGCUGUCGCGUACUCAAGAGAACAUGAGUACUGGGUAUUAUUUUAGCUGUUUGCUGAUUUGUUUUAACACCCGUUAAUUCUAGAGUUCAAGGGUAUAUUGUAUCUGUGCAACAUUAGGGAACUAGGAGCAGGAACCAUCCCUCUAUCUUCCUAGAGAUGCCAUCCCUGUACCAUCUUACAAUCCACAAUAAAACUAUCGCAAUCUGAUAAUGACAGCCGUAAUAAAUCGAUUAAACUAUGAAUGGAGAAUGGUAAUAAUAGUAUGUCCAUCUUUUAAGUCUCCUUAUUGGUUCCUUUAUAUCGGGUAUCUUGAAGUCUUAACGUUUAUCCCGUACUUCUUACUUGUUUUAUGAUUGUUCUGCCAUGGCAAAGGCGCUGGCGGCGACUACGGCAACGCUGAUGAUGACGAUGGCCGACGCUGGCUGCUCCGAUGUAUCUGCUGCUGCUGCUGUUUUUGUUGCAGUUUGCAGUUUGCAUUUACAUUACAUGAAAAUGACCUACAAAUAAAUUAAGCUCUCAACUUGUUAAUGUCCGUUUUUCAUACCCUCACAGUCUUGGGUAUAGUCGAGUAUUCAUUAAAGCAGAGGCAUUGCGACACACAGACAUUGAGAUAAUACUUUAUAAUAAGUAUAAAGUAUACUCCAGUAUCUUGGAGUUUUGAUUUCUCUAACACGCUCAUCCGAAAGUGCUGAUUGGUUCUAUGGAUAGCAUUGCCAUGCGCUCGAAUUCAAACAGGAGUCAAUUGGUGUGUGUUACGCAUCAGGAAAAGUGGAGCUACCUGGGAAUUAAGAAACCAACAGAACCAUUGAUGGGGGGCUUACUCAUCGGCACGGAUCCAAGUUCAAAUUUUCGUCCCUCUCUUUGUUUAUUCGCAGCUUACUCAGAUAUUUAAUUAUGUUUACUUGUUGCUCAACAAAGGGCCGCCCCGUCGAAUGCGUAACUCCAUCCUGGCCCAAAAGUCGCAGCACUUUCCCCCACCCGUGCCCUCUUCUUACCCCGCCUUCUGGCUGUGCUCGGACCAAGGCGAGUGUCAGGAAAAAGUCAGCGGAGCAAACAAUUUGCAUUAUUAAUUUAAUUGAAAAACUUGUUAAAUUAAAUAUUUAAAUUUCGAUGCAGCCAAAGUUGCCUGCAAUCGCUGCUGCCGUCGCUGCCGCUGUC